GCACCGGUUUUGAGAGCUGCGCGAGUGUGUGAAGUGAACGGCAGGAAGUGGCAACGAAAGCAGCUCCACACCUUUCCGGUGUAUCAACGCCGCGACCAGUUCGGCUUAAAGGAGAAAGGCCACUACUUGGAAAUUACUCUAAAGUAGCGGGCAGAAGAGAGGGGGUGAGACGUGGAGUUUCGCCAGUUGAGUGCUAGGACGUGCAUGUCGAGGACCCCCGCCACCGGGAAGGUGAAGUUAACUGGCGGUGAGCUUUGCUUGGAAUAACGUUAGCCGCAGAAAGCUGCUUUUCUUACCGGUAGUGCUGACAAGAGAGCCGGGUCGCAGCCGGACAGGAGGAGCGCCGCACGUCGCCAGUGGGAUUUCACCGCAGCGUUUAGUCAUACAAAAUCCCCUUUUGUACGCCUCAGCCCGUUGUGGAAAUAUUCAUUUUGACUGAUUCGUGCAGAGGAAUGCCCAUUGCGCAACAGCUGCUGUCAAGUUUGUAGAGUAUCGAGGCAUGGUGUGAACAGGCCCCGCUCACACACAGCGCUACUUUGAAUGUACACGUCCAAGUUCUCGCCCUAUGACUCAAUAUGAGAGUGUGUUUCUACCGUCGUUGGGAGUCAUGCCUUCACCAAUAGACCUGUAAUUGAACCAAAGCUCUUUAAAAAAAAAAAAAAAAAAAAAAAAAAAGCAAAAAUAAGAUUUUCUCUUUACCAGCAAGGUAUUUAUGCAACAGAGUUGAAAAUGGGGAAGAUGCUUUCCAAGAUAUUUGGGAACAAGGAGAUGAGAAUAUUAAUGCUCGGACUGGACGCCGCCGGGAAGACAACAAUCCUGUAUAAACUGAAACUGGGACAGUCGGUUACUACGAUUCCAACGGUGGGCUUUAAUGUGGAAACUGUCACCUACAAAAAUGUCAAGUUCAACGUGUGGGAUGUCGGAGGUCAGGAUAAGAUUCGCCCCCUGUGGCGACACUACUACACAGGCACCCAGGGGCUGAUUUUCGUGGUGGAUUGCGCCGACAGGGAUCGUAUCGACGAGGCGCGGCAGGAACUCCACCGCAUCAUCAACGACAGGGAGAUGAGGGAUGCCAUCAUCUUAAUAUUCGCCAACAAGCAAGACCUUCCCGACGCCAUGAAACCGCAUGAAAUCCAAGAGAAGCUAGGAUUGACGCGGAUCCGAGAUAGGAAUUGGUAUGUUCAACCCUCGUGCGCGACCACAGGCGAUGGACUCUAUGAAGGCCUGACAUGGCUAACUUCCAAUUACAAAUCUUAAUGAUUGAGUGCUGACUGUUUUAGGUCAAAAUUAAAAUAAAGUUUGAAAGAACCGCUCCAAUGAGAAUGGUUAAGUACAAAUUUGUUAGCCUCAUUUAUUUUUCAAUACUGCAUCGACCACAUGACUAAUUUAUCAACAAAUUGGAUUGCUGGUUUUUAAGAAAAAAUAUGCUUGUCCUGUGUAGCAGACUUUUAUCAUAUUUUAGGGCUUGCUUCUUGGAUAUUCAGUUACAGUUCACCACCUUUGCCUGUUUUUCCUCUUUUAUAUAAUUUUUCUAAUAACGCUGAAUUUCUCCACAUCUUAAGUUGGGGUUCUUUCAAUUUUAGGCUUGUUUUCUGUUAAAGCGGAUCUUAAAUGUUUGAUGAAGUUUGACCCGGUACUAUAGUUCAGAGGUGUCAAAUGUACGGCUCACUCAUACAGAUACGCAAAAUCGCAUGCUCUUCGCCCUCUCAAAAUGGAUGGGACAUCUAGCACUGUCAGUGGUAGACAAUGAGUUUAAAAAGUGACCCCAAAAUGCCUGAAACAGCACCAAGUGAGCCCAAAUCCCCAGAAAGUAAGCUGGAAAUGCCUCAGAAUCAACAGGAAAUUAUCCAAAAUGUACAAGGAAGUGACCCAAAAAUGCAAUUGACAUCCAGUUCACUUGUACUGGAAGGACUGGCUGUGAAUGCAGUGCCAUUGAUGGCACUUGCCCCUCUCAGUCAAAAUGGAUGGGACGUUGUGCACAGUCAAUGGCAGCUACUGAAUUAACAAGACCCCAAAAUGCCCCAGAACCAAAAUGAAGCAGCCCAUAACUGCCUGAAAAAUCAUCAGGAUAUGAUUGACAAUUUUGUACACAUUCGUUCAUUCGCCCCCGCCCUGUGAAAAUGGAAUUGACGUCUGGCGUAGUUAUUUGCCACGUUUACAUGGAGCCAAAUAUUCCAAUUACAAUCGGAAUAUUUGUUCAAACCGAAUAAAUGUGUUCCAUAUAAACACCUCAUUCGGAAUGAACAGGCCCAAACCGAAUGGAAUUUCAUUCCGAUUCACAGGGGUGGAAUAUUCCUUUUCCCAAACCGAUUAGAAGUAAAAUUAUAUCAUGUAAACAGGGAAGCGGAAUGGUGUCUGGUUGCGUUCUUUCUGCGCAUGCUCCGUACUGACGUGGUGACGUCACUUGGUGACGUAAGUAACGUCACUUGCAACAUGGCUUCCAAGCACACGCACAGCGCACCCACACAACUUUUUAAAUGAACGGCGUAUCAUUCUGAAGUUUUGUUUCCACUCGAAAAGUUAAAACAGCAGCUGAUCUGACGAUCGAUCUCCAUGUUUUGCAACGUGACGCUUUGUUUUGAUUAAUCUGCGCAUGUCAGACGGCAGUUGUCAAACGUCCUUUCGGAAUAAAGGCAGACACAUGUAAACGCUGGAUCGGAAUAGAUGAAGUGACAUGUAAACAGCUGAUGUGAAAUUUCCAUUCGGAAUGAUUUGAAUCGGUAUGAAUAAAAGUCAGCAUGUAAACGUGGCUAGUGACAGCCCACGAGUUGACAAGGAAGGGACCCCUAAACCAACAGGUAGUGACACCAAAUCAACAGGAAGUAACCUGGAAAUGCUCCAAAAUCAACAGGAAGCAGCCCAAAAAUGCUGGAAAACCUGGAAAUGAUCCAAAAUUUACAGAAAGUGACCCAUAAGUCUCUUAAAAUGGCAUGAAAAUAAAAGCAAAAUGUCCUCAUUACCAGCCAUUGACCACAAUAGACGUCCAGUUCACUUAUACUGGAAGGAUUGGCUUUGAAUGCUCAUCUUCUAGACCAGGGUUGCUGACCCCUGUUCUAAUGUCUCCUCUCCCAGUGAAAAUGUAUUGGACGUCUAGCACUGUCAAUGGCAGCCAAUGAGUUAACAAGGAAGUGAUCCAUAAGUAUCUUAAAAUGACAUGGAAGUGACAUAAAAUGGCCUCAUUGACAACGACCGACGUCCAAUUCUCUUAUCCUGGAAGGACUGGCUGUGAAUGCUCAUCUUCCAGUGUUGCCCAUCCCAGCCAAAAUGUAUUUUGACGUCUAGCGGUGUCAAUGGCAGCCAAGAAGUUAAUGAGGAAGUGACUUAAAAAUGUCCUAAAAAUCAACUGGAACUGAUCCAAAAUGUACUGGAAGUGACCUGUAAAUAUCUUAAAAUGGCAUGGAAGUGAUGCAAAAGUAAACUCAUUGCCUGACAUUGACAACAACAGAUGUGCAAAUCACUUACAUUGGAAGGUUUGCCUGUGAAUGCUCAUCUUCCAGUGCCAUUGACGUCAAUGGCAGCCACUGAGUUAAAUUAGUCAGGCCCACAUGAACACAAGUUACUUUGACACCCCUGCUAUAGUUAAUAGUACUUGCGAGAAAGGUAUCGAUUGCUGCAAAUGAGAGCGUAUCACCAUUGCCGUCUGUAUUGACUGGAGAGAAGAAAUAUUUCACAAUUUCAUCAGCCAUCUCCCUCAAUGUGGGCUAUGUAGUAAACUGAUGUGUCAUGUCUUAAUACCUAAAUGUGCAGAGUAUUCAACAAAAUGGGCCUCUAAUAACGGAACAUGCUUGUCGGGAUGUAUUUUUUUAGUUUGGACGGAGGAAUGCGACAAGUGGGUCAAGUGAUUUCUCUAAAAGAAUGUCCUUCAGCUAAUACUUGGAGUACUUGGUCUUGGGACAUGAUAUGAUAGCCUGUAUCUGUAGCAUGAAGUACAGCAAACCUCCACAAGGGUCCAUGUGGUCAAAAGUGUGGAAAACACCUUGUUUAGCGACUGUUUUGAUCAGGGUUGGGUGGAGAUCCAUGUACAGACCUUGUCAUUGUAAUGUCUUAUUAAAAAAGUGAUUUGAAAUCUUGUUUCUGUAAUGUUAAUUCAAAACAAGAAUGAUAAUUUACUCCAGGU